CACAAAAAAGGCUAACAGUCCCAAAUAACAGAUAAAGAGACAAUCCAAGAACAGGUAAAAAGGUCAGAACCACAAGAUCUAAACUACAAACAGGGGUUGGAGUUCUCAGGAGCAUCUAUGGAAAAAUAAGCAGUGCUAAAAUAACAUAACAUUACAAAGAAUAUCUUUCGUGUUCAAUCACAUAAAAAUAUCUUAGCCAAAUGGUUGAUUUUUGGGAAAUGUUUAAAGUAUUGAUUAAAGAACACCAUAAAGAGAAUAGAGACACCAGUAAAUAUCUUACUCUUGAUAUAAAUCCUGUGAUUAACAUAUAACCUGUGGACAUGUUUUAGCUUAAUAUUAUCUUGCCUCCGGUGUUGUGUAAGGAGAGUGUGUGGAGAGUGUUACUGGGAGGUGGAGUGAAUGGUGUUGUGUACAUGUCAGUUUCGUAUAAAGCAAUCGGCAGGAAUGGAUGAGGUUACAAGAGUAUGUUUGGAUGCAAGAGUCCGGGAGUUUAAUUUGUUCUCCUUCCUGUGUCCCAUUUCAGCACACCGUCUUUAAGACUGAGCUCCAAGGUCCAGCGUCUUCCAGAAUAGGAUUGUAUGUGGAUCACAGUACAGGAACUCUGUCCUUCAUCCUGUCAACAUCUCUGAGGCUCCUCCACAGAAUCAACACAUUCACUCAGGCUCUAUACGCUGGGUUUAUAUUGUGCAAUUCUGGAUCAACUGUGAGGUUAUGCAAUCCAAAAUGAAACAUUAGUGAGAUGUAUUAAAACAGGCAUUUUAGAUUCAGGUUCUGAGACAUUUUUGGUGUCUCAAUAAAUUAUAGACCGUCAUAAACGUUAUAAUUGCAUCUAUUCUAUAGGUUUAGGUAUUAUCAGUAAUCUUCCAAAUUGUGUAGGAUGCUUUUCGGAAAAAUAAGAGUUAAUAUAUAUGAGCUACAAAACAUUUGUAUCACAAAAAAAUAAAAUAAAAUCUGUAUCAGAUACAGAUAUAAAGUUCUACACAUCAGCCUCUGUAGUGCCAUGAGUGUUUGAGAUGUAUCGCACAACAACAUGACCGAUAUAUCAAACACCAGGCCAGCAUAAGAUCAGACAGUUUCUCCAUCUUGCACAGAAGCUCCCCAGGUGAUCCCAUUCACCAUUCAGCAUCUCAUCUACAAAGACUGUACAAUGGUGUACAGCUUGUAUGUGCAUUAGAUUGUUGUCCCAGAUCUUUGAAAGGUUCAGCAGGGCACAGUUGGAUCUCUUUAAUGAUGCCAAAUCAACAUAUUGC
ensembl:lncRNA